AUCCAGAUGACGAGUCCCAAAUAGGACGAAACACGCGUCCUGGAU
rfam:Schistosoma rodhaini strain Burundi genome assembly, scaffold: SROB_scaffold0005260